CCCCCGAUAGCUCAGUUGGUAGAGCGCUUGUUUGAAGAACAAGAGGCCGUCAGUUCGACACUGACUUGGGGGA
rnacentral:tRNA from 2 species